AACUUUUACUAACCUGUUUUUUCCCUCUAUAUUCCAGAUUUUCCUACUAAUUUUUUAAAGAGAUUUAUUUAUUUUAUGUGAAUACACUGUUGCUCUUCAGACACACUAGAAGAGGGGAUCAGAUCCCAUUACAGAUGGUUGUGAACUAUCAUUUAGCUGCUGGGAAUUGAACUCAGGACCUUUAGAAGAGCAGUGAGUGCACUUAACCACUGAGCCAUCUGUCCAUCUAUCCUAAUGUUUUUAUUGUAAUAAUAUAGGUAUGAAGAAAGUUUCCUUUUCAAGAGAAAAACACUAAAAUAUUUAACAUUAAUAGUUUAAAAGAUUAUUCUUUGCUUGUAUUCACACUGAAAAUCACUUUAAAACAGGCUAUACAAAGAGAUUAUGUAAUGUAGAGACCUAAGAUUUAAAAAGACUUAUGUGAUUUUAUUUGUAAUGAGUAUGUUUUCUUGUGAUCUUUGAACUCCUAUUUUAAUUUCAAAGAAACUGAAAAUACAGUUGUGUGUUUUCUUUGUGUGACAGUCAAUAUACGCCAAUAUCUCUCCUUAUGAAGCAUCAAAUCCUUUCAUAUUUCAUAACAACCCCCUCGAAAUUGUGAAUAACUACUCUCUAGCAAACUAAUCACUGUUAAAUUUUUCUUCUCAUUUCUCUACCAAGUACUACUUAUGUUUAUUCAGGAUCUUGCAAAUAGUAUGAUUACAAUGCAGCUUUUCUCCUGUCAACAUUUGUAGUACAAGUUUUACUCCUCAUUCUCUGGUAUAUAACUAUUAAUAAUAGCAGGCACCAGUACACUAAUCCUACUUCCUCUGAUAUUUUAGUCCUUUUCCCUCUAUUAUUAUGUAUUUUAGGAGUGCUAUGAAAAUUAACUGUGGCAUAAAAUGUCAGGCUGGUAAUAAAGAGAUGGUUAAAAGAUAGUAAAUCAGGACAACAGGAUACAUUCGCAAAUGAAAACACUUGCCACCAAGUGUGAGACCCCAGGGUCACAGGGAAUAACACAAUGGAAGAAAAGAACCAACUCCCAAGAGUCAUCCUUUAAAGUCCACAUGGAUGCAGUGGAAUUUGUGCCCUACACAUACAAUCACACACAAAUAAAUAGAAUACUUAUUUUUAGUUUUGUUUAUUUUCAUGUGUUUGAUUGGUUUUUAAUUUUGUAUUUCAUUUUUGUUUUUGUUUUUGUUUUUUUGAAACAGGGUUUCUCUGUGUAGCCCUGGUGGUCCUGGAACUCAUUUUGUAGACUAGGCUCGCCUCAAAUUCUGAGAUCCAUGUGCUUCUGCCUCCUGGGUUCUGGUGUUAAAGGCUUGUGCCACCACCUCCCAGUUGGAAAAAUAACUUUUAAAAUAUAUUAAAUUACCUCAAAUUGAGAAAUCUCCACAAAACUACUAUAUUUAUAUUCAGCAGCUAUUUAGCCGUUUUAAAUUGAUACCUUCCCAAGUUUACUAUUUAGGUAUCUGGUUAUUUACAAAUGUAAGGUAAGACCAAAGUUUAUUUUAUCUUAGAAUGCUGUUUUUUAAUUAAAUUUGCUCUGACGAUUUCAGAGUAUAUAAUGCAUUCUCAUACUUUGAUCACCCUCCUUAUCUCCCUUCCUCCCCUGUAAAAUGAUCUCAUCUUUCCAGAUCUCUGUCCCACAUUCUUGUCUUUGGUUUGCUUUGUGAUCUACCAUAUUUAACCAGUGUCAUUUGUGUGACCAUAGAUUUGGAACUCUCCACUGGAACUCGGUGAGCUUAUGAGUUGGUACACAAUGACUGUGGCUUUCCCCCUCUUCUCUACAAUGCUUUUUGUUACAUUGUAAUAUUGUAUACUUAUAAAGAAAUUAAGAGAUUUUCUUCAUAACAUGCUACUUCUAGAUCCAACUCCUGAGACCUGAUUCUUCAAAUGCUCAGGAAUCAAGUCUUCUCUGGUUGGUUGAUAGCCAUAGUGCUCCAUUGCAUGUGUAAAUACUUAUAAGUCAGAAGUAGCAGUCUUCUUAUAAAGAUCAUAAGAAACUAAAAUAAACUUUACCUGUGUUUUUUUUCUUCCUCUACUGCCUACUAAUCAAAAUUAAUACAUUUUCUGAGAGAAAUACAAGGAAGCAAGCUAUCCUGCUUCUCAAAACUGUUAGUUAACUACAAAGUAAAAUGGUGACCAGCCAUAGGAAAUUCCUCUUUAAUGAGCAAGUCUGUUGUUAAAUUUCUCUAUUUCUUUUUUAGUGUCAGGACAUAAGGGUGUUAGGUUUCAAACAAGGGACAAAAGACUAUGUAAGGUACCUGUUAACAUAAUAAAAUGGCCUCUGGCCAGUCCCUCUCUCCCUGUCCAUAUGUGUUACAAGGUCCUCUUGCCUGGCCUACCUACCUGAAAUGGUCUGUCCUUUUCUAACUUCUCUGAUCCAUAACCCAGCCAUUUAAUUAUGUGAUCCUUUUUGGCCUCUUAGCCCCUUGGCUGCCAUUCCAGAUUCUCUAGCUCCUUUCUUCUCUUCCCUCUCCCUUCUCUUCUAACCCUUCUCCCUUCUCUCCUCUCCUUUCCUCUCCCCAUUCCCCUUUAUUCUUUCCCCUAACCCUUCUCCUUAUAUUUCCUCUCCUCAAAUGCCCCAGAAGACUUAGUUUGCUGGGCACGUUCACUUUAGACACUCCUAUAUGUCUCUGUUUCUGUCCCCCCUAGAAGGGUACAUACCCUUCUUUUAUUUAUUUAUUUUUUUCAUUCAAGAGACACAGUGACAUAUAUUGCAUAGUUUUUGUAUUGUGUAUGAGGUAUUAAGUGUGAUUUAACUGUAAAUUGUUCCAACAUUUAGAGACUCUCACAAGAUAUUCCCUGACCUCUAUAUGUGUGUUAUAAUGGCAUAUCCUCUCCAACCUCACCUGCCCCCAACAAAAUCAGGUUUUUUUUUUUAAAAAUCAAUUAAAAAUUACUUAUUCAAAAAUUUGAAGUGUCACAAUGUCUUACAAAAUUGUCCACAUAGAAUGUUUCAAAAUUUAUAUAAUUUCACUUUGUGAAAUUUCAUAUUCAUUAUUGCUUUAUAGGUUUACUAAUCAUUAGAUUAAGUUGCAUAUUUAAUAGGGCUAGAAAGACAGUUAUUGAUAAAGUACUUGCUUUAUAAGCAUAAGAACCUGAGUUCAACCCCUAAACCCAUGAAGAAAUAAAAACAAAAACAGCCCUGUACCUUGGGCACAUCUGCUUUAAUUCCAAUACUGAAGAGUAAGGGAAAAGUAGAUCCCUGGGGCAAACUAUCAAGCUAGCCUAGCCUACUUACUAACCUUGGCCAGAGAGUAUAACCUAGAGGUACUAUAAUGAAACCACUGAGGUGGCCACUCCAGGAUUACAGGAGUGGGAAGUGUUUAUUGUGGAUGGGGGAGGGACUGAGGGAGGGGAAGACAGACAAAGAAGGACAAACAGAUCAACCAGAGGCAUCUGGAAGAGUUCAGAGCUAAGAGAAAAAAAGCAGACUAAAAAUGGUCAGUUCUGUCUGCAAGAGAUGAGGGAAUAUCUGUGACAGAGUGGAAACCUACUAUUAUAGAGGAGUGAUCUGGAACAGCCUGGAGCCCAGCAUCAUGGAAGAGCUAUGGCAUAUUGUGUGAGAAGGGAAAGGAUACUAGAGAGGGCUUUAAAGCCUAGAGGCUAGCAUGGGUUUGAUAAUGUAACUACAGGUAUUUGUCAAUGGCAAGUCAUAUGUUUCUUCUGUCAGUCAAGGAAAAUGACUCCUUUUGGCUGGUGGAGUUCCUGGAUAAUUAUAGCUUUUAUCUAGCCACCAGAAAUCCUUUAGUCCAGCUUGAGCUGAGCCAAGACUUUCAUUUCUGGACAUGUGCACUGCCUGAGACCUAACGGUUACAGACCAUACCUUUAAACAAGUAAAAAGGUGGACAGAGUCUGAAACACAACAGCCAAACUUGGCCUCUGACCCCACAUGCACAAACAUCCCACCUUGCACACAUAUGCACAGACACAUACACAAAAUUACAUAUUUUAUUAGUGAAUUGUGUAUUAAUAAUGUAAUGAAAGUUUCCUUGUAUCCGUCCAGCUUUAUUUCUUACUUUAAGCCACCUGGAGCUUUUUGGAUUGUUUUUGGUUUUUUGUUUUCUCUGUUUUCACUGGGCCUGUUGUUUAUUGUAACCACAAGAGGUGAUUAAGAAAUUGCCAAUCCAUAAAUAAUUUUAUAACUGAAAUAACUUAGUUGGAGAGCAUUAGUUGAAAGAUAGUAGUCUUGACUUGCUCAUUCUUAUGUUUAUCUGCAUAAUUUUGAAACAUAAAUAUAAUACAAUUCAUUAAAAUUCAUUAUUUAAAAAUAAAAAGAUUCAUUGAGAUUUAUUAAAAACUCCAUUUUUUGACAUCCACACUCUUAUUACUGUGGUCAGACUGAGAAACACACCUUGAAUCUAAGCCAUAAGAUUAGCAAAAUGCUGUUUUUUCUAAAAAGUUAUUUGUACUUUGUAGGUCCUAUUUUGAAUAUUGCUGACAUAUUUAAGUUUUUUUCAGUUAUCCUUAUGCUUAUGCUUUGGAAUAUUCACUGCUAACAAGUUUGUAGAUAGAAAAUUAUUGAACUUGAAUAAUUUAGAAAUCAUGAUAUAUCUAUAGACAUAAACUAAAAGUUACCUUAUAGUUAAGACAUUAUACAUAACUACCUUUAGCAAUCAUUAUUUUAAUUUCCCAAACUUUCAUUUUCACAUAGAAAUUUCAAAGUAGACAUUAGCAUACAGUUAAUAUAAAUUGUAUUUGAUCGUCUAUCUAGACCUUGAAAGCAUUUUGUAUACUGUUCUAGCAUUUAAAAGUCCAGUCUUCAAGAGAAUCUAUUUGAUAGUCAAUUAAAAAUACCAAUUACAAAACUUAAAAUCAUUUGACAAGUGAAUUAAAAUAGAACUUCUAGUUUUUCUAGAGCAAAAUGUGUAUGUGUGAGUACUUUUCAAACUGAGAUGAUUUUCUUUAGAUUUUUUUUUUUUACAGUAGGAGAAUUACUUCUAGAAUUGAAUGGGGAGAGGCAAGUCAUGUCAUUGAGCAUGCUAAGGCAUAGAAUGUCCCCUGUAAUAAAGAAUUGUCUAGCCCAAAGUUAUUUAGUGGAUAAGCAAGACAUUAAUCUGUUUUUUCCAAGAAUAGACUCAUUUCUGAAAUCCUGACUGAAGUAGAAUCCCUGGAUCAAAGCUAAACUAGACUAUGUGGUGAUUAUGCAUUGUGGGAGGGAGUGAAAAUAAGG
rnacentral:lncRNA from 1 species